ensembl:lncRNA
CAAGGUCAGACAAGCACGUGUUCGGCUGUUAUGGCUGCCGAAAUGGGGAGCUGGUCCCUUCAGUUUUUCUCAACAGAGUUUCUCUGUGUAACUUUGGAGCCAGCCUGUCCUGGAACUCUCUUUGUAGACCAAGCUGGCCUCGACUCACCGAUAGCCACCUGUUUUUGCCUUCUGAGUGCUGGGAUUAAAGGUGUGCAGUCUUUCCACCACCAGACAGUACCACUUCCGGAAAUCAGCAACAAUGCAGUGCUGCCAGACCUUCCACCUACUUCAUUCAUCUCCUCACUCGGGGAAACUCAGCACUCAAACCGUGGUGGGAUGAAGAAGCAGCCUAGAAUAUCGCAAUGUGCUGACCACCUGAGCACCUGGCUCUAGAACGGGACUGCCAUCUCAUUGAGCAUCCUUUGGAUAAAUCUAACCGAGAACGAUCAUUUAGGGAAAGCAUCCUUUGGUUAAAUCUAACUAACUGAGAAAGAUCUCUUAGGGGAAAUUAGCCAUAAAUCCAUUUCAUUAUUUUGAAUUUCCUCUGGCAACAUUCAUUCUUUUUCCAUAUACGGAUGCAAAGAACCACAGAGCAUUAUAGAGAUUUCCUUAAGUUCUAUAAUCAUAGAAGAAGAUGCCUAAGCAUAUUCAGGACCCUGCUGACUUCCAAAUUGCUUUGCCUGUACUUGCUCAUCUUAUGACUGCUCUAGGAGGGCUCCAGGCCUGGGUCCUGAGGAGCCUAGCUGCUUCUAUGCAACACGGUGUUCAUUGUGCUGAUGCACAAGAUAAUUGGAUGCUACCUACUCAAAACGGCAGAGCCUGGAACCCUUGGGUUGUGCAACAGUUAUAAAGCAUUCUUCUAAAGUAUGUUUGAUGGUCUUUGUUUCAUGAAAUGGAGCUGGAAACUUGCAUAAGGCCAAAAAAAGAAAAAAAGAAGAAAAGAAAAGAAAAGGUCUUGGUAUUUGCCACUGCAACUUGAUCUUGUGGUUAGCAAUGGGAUUCUUGCCAUUAUACUAUGUGUGUUUUGGCCCUGUCCUUACUUUGGGGUGCUGCAAGUAUUUAUUUUAGUUUCAGAGAAGACUCUUCCUGGGGUACGUGGCCUACUUUUAGCAAUGUGCCUCUUUUCUUGAUCCCAGAGUUGAACUGAACGGCUCAAACAAAAUGGAAGGAAAGACAAUAUUGACCUUCGUGUCAAGAAAACAAAAACUUAGGAUCAUCUGUUCAGCCAAUGAGAUAUUAGCCAGAAUAUUUCUAUCAUCCACUAUUCAAAUCACAGGAAUAUUCUGCAAAUGAUUCUUGUUGAACCAUUUAUGAAUAGUAUUUUCAAUAAAUUAUGUAAGUGAGAAAAUCCACUAUGUAUUAAUUAAAAAUGUAAAGGAAAGAAAAUGAAAAAAAUAUUUUCUAUAAAGGAACAAAUAACAGAUACAUUUUUAGUUAUUUUACCUUAAAUAGAUAAUUAAAAAAAUAGUCUGCUGUGUUUUGGAGUCCAACCAAAUAGUUACAGUAAAGGAAAGAGCUCAAGCAUUUUUUAAUUUAUCCUUCCAGUUUCUACUCUUUGUCUUUCAUCCAUUCUGUACAGUGAAUUCACGAAGGUCCUUUGAAAGUAGAUGCUGACAUAGUCAUAUCCCAUUUAAAAAUUCACAGUGGCUUACAUCUUACUUAAAGAUCAAGAUUUGUUUACCUAAGGAGCUGGAGAGAUGACUCAGUGGUUAAAAGCACUGGCUGUUCUUCCACAGGACCCUGGUUCGAUUCCCAGCACACACAUGGCAGCUCACAUCUGUCUGUGACUCUUGUUUCAGGGGAUCUGAUGCCUUCUUCUGGAUUCUGCCAGCACCCAGCACACUGUGUGCUGUUUUCUUUUUCUUAGCAACAACAGACAUUUCUUAAUUGUGGUAAAAGGCACAGCACUUAGCCAACCAUUGCCAUCCUGACUGUUUGAAUGUGUAGAUAAAGAAUAUCAAAGACUUGUCCAUUGUGCUACAUUACUUUUCUAAUCAUCGUGACAAAACACCUUUCAGUGUAGUGGAGGAAGGGUCCUUUGGGUUGAGUUUCAAUGGGGUUUUUAAACCUUUAUGGUGUUACAAUAACUCUUCCCGCCAGCCUGGUCCCAGUGUUGUGUCAGCCCCAAAUAACACACAGAGACUCUAUUAGUUAUAAUGCUGUUGGCCAAUGUCUGUGGCUUCUUAUUGGCUAUCUGUCUUAAGUAUUAACCCAUAACUACUAAUAUAUGUAUUUCUGCAUGAUCUUAACUUACUGAGAACACCAGACUCAUGUGUCCUCUCCUUCUGGGAUCACAUGGUGACUUCUCCUUACUACACUUCCCAGAAUCCUCAUUGUCUCCUGGUCCCACCUAUCUUGCUUCCCUGCUGGCCAAAAGUGUUUUAUUCAUCAACCAAUAAAGGAAAAGUUUGUACAGAAGACAUCCCCUAUCAUCAUGGCCAGGAGAUCACUGUUGCAGGGGCAACUGAAUCUGUGACCUCAGGGACUUGCUGUUGUGUGUUCUUGCACAAGAAUGGUGGCACGCAGGAAGCAAAGCACUUCAGCCAGAACCGGGUGUGGGUUAACUUUCAAAGCUCCACCUCCUAAAGACUCUAUGGCCUUCACAACAGCAUCACAAGGGGGACAUCAGACACUCAAGUAUGAGCCCGUGAGGGACAUUUGGAUCCAAACUGCAACGACAACCAUUAUCAUCACUGUCCUUCCUGAGAAUACUCUUCACCACCCACAUGACUCAGUGUUCUGCAACCACAAUGUACCGAGUUCAAAUCCCCAGCAAGCAGAAAGCCAGGCAUGGCUGCAUGUGCCUGUAACCUCAGCAUUCAGGGACAGGAACAAGUGAAUCUCGAAGAGCUUGCUAGCAUCCAUCCUAGCUCAAACAGCUUCAAGUUCAGAGAGAGACUGUCUCUGGUCAAUAAGGUGGAGAGCAGCAGAGGGAGAUAUCCUUCAUUCCAUGUGCUUGUGCAGACCCACAUUGCUCAUGUGCAUGUGACACACACACAUACACCCCAAACCCAACAUACCAUACACAUGCACGAAACUCUUUUCAUCUUCCAAAUGUACUGUACAAUAUUUAUAGAAAAACGAGAAGAAUGGUCCUGUAGAGUAAACAGCUAUUUGCAGUGUAGAAUAACAUGUCUCCCCAUGUACCCACUGGGGAAGUACAGAUGUUCUUAAGUCUUACUCUUAAAUAAGAAUCACCUGUCUUAACUGGGCAGUGGUGGUGCACCCCUUUAAUCCCAGGACUCUGGAGGCAGAGGCAGGUGGAUCUCUGAGUUCAAGGCCAGCCUGGUUUACAAAGCUACACAUAGAAACUCUGCCUUGAAAAAACAAAAGGAGAAGGAGAAGGAGAAGGAGAAGGAGAAGGAGAAG